rnacentral:rRNA from 1 species
AUACGGAGGGUGCAAGCGUUACUCGGAAUCACUGGGCGUAAAGCGCGCGCAGGCGGCUAUUUAAGUUGGAUGUGAAAGCCUACGGCUCAACCGUAGAACUGCAUCCAAAACUAUUUAGCUAGAGUGUGGGAGAGGAGGAUGGAAUUAGUUGUGUAGGGGUAAAAUCCGUAGAGAUAACUAGGAAUACCAAAAGCGAAGGCAAUCUUCUGGAACACUACUGACGCUGAGGCGCGAAAGCGUGGGGAGCAAACGGGAUUAGAAACCCCAGUAGUCC